UUAUAGUAAUGUCAUUGGGUUGGUACAGUAGAUUAUAGUAAUGUCAUGGAGGUGGUACAGUAGAUUAUAGUAAUGUCAUGGAGGUGGUACAGUAGAUUAUAGUAAUGUCAUGGAGGUGGUACAGUAGAUUAUAGUAAUGUCAUGGAGGUGGUACAGUAGAUUAUAGUAAUGUCAUGGAGGUGGUACAGUAGAUUAUAG